CGCGGCCUAUCAGCUUGUUGGUGAGGUAACGGCUCACCAAGGCAACGAUGGGUAGCUGGUCUGAGAGGAUGGUCAGCCACAUUGGGACUGAGACACUGCCCCAACUCCUACGGGAGGCUGCAGUCGAGAAUAUUUCGCAAUGGGGGAAACCCUGACGAUGCGACGCCGCGUGGGGGAUGAAGGCCUUCGGGUUGUAAACCUCUGUGUUACGGGAUGAAUUGAGCGUUGCUGAUAACGCAGCGUUUUUGACGUUACCGUAGUAGAAAGCCCCAGCUAACUACGUGCCAGCAGCUGCGGUAAUACGUAGGGGGCAAGCGUUGUCCGGAAUCACUGGGCGUAAAGCGCGCGCAGGCGGUGGAGUAAGUCAGACGUGAAAGGGUUCGGCUCAACCGAGCCAUUGCGUUUGAUACUGCUUUACUUGAGUCUAGAAGAGGAAAGUGGAAUGUAUGGUGUAGCGGUGGAAUGCUUAGAUAUCAUAUAGAACACCCGUGGCGAAGGCGGCUUUCUGGUCUAAGACUGACGCUCAUGCGCGAAAGUUUGGGGAGCAACCGGGAUUAGAUACCCCGCUAGUCCUUACUGUAAACGAUGGGUACUAAGUGUAGGGGGUGUUGAUUCCCUCUGUGCUGUAGCUAACGCAUUAAGUACCCCGCCUGGGGAGUACGG
rnacentral:rRNA from 1 species